rnacentral:rRNA from 1 species
CAGCCGCCGCGGUAAUACCGGCGGCCCGAGUGGCGGCCACUAUUAUUGGGCUUAAAGCGUCCGUAGCCGGGUUGGUUAGUCUCCCGGGAAAUCUGGCCGCUUAACGGUCAGAAUUCCGGGAGAUACUGCCAGCCUAGGGACCGGGAGAGGCCGAGGGUAUUCCCGGAGUAGGGGUGAAAUCCUAUAAUCCCGGGAGGACCACCUGUGGCGAAGGCGCUCGGUUGGAACGGGUCCGACGGUGAGGGACGAAGGCCAGGGGAGCAAACCGGAUUAGAUACCCGGGUAGUCCUGGCUGUAAACGAUGCGGACUUUGUGUCGGACAAGCUAUGAGCUUGUCCGGUGCCGGAGGGAAACCGUUAAGUCCGCCGCCUGGGGAGUACGGCCGCAAGGCUGAAACUUAAAGGAAUUGGCGGG